rnacentral:snoRNA from 1 species
GGCUUUUGUGUAUGUUUUUGUUUAAACAGCAGACAAAGACUUAAAGACAGGUGCAAAAAUAAAUCCUCUUUUGCAACCCAGAAUAUGAAUUUUGAUUCAUAUAAGAAGGAAUAUG